CAUCCACAUAACUAUAUUUAUCAUUUUAUCCCUUUAAAUAAACCAAAAGUGAAUGCUGCUUCUUCAUUACAAAUGUCUCAGUGCUUUACAUGCAAAAGUUUUGUUGAGAUUGAUGGAAAUCAUAAACACCCUUUAUUUACUACAGCAACGUUAAUAAUUAAGCAGAAAAGAGAAUAUCCAUGAAUGCUGUUAUAAAAAUAAUUCUUGUCCUAGUUCCAAGCAAAAAAAAAUGUAAAUUAGUCAUUGAGAACAUAAGGGUGAUCCACAAGAACUAUAAAGGGUAGUUCAUUUUCUCCAUUCCAGAUAAAGUAAAUGCAGUGGUCAGACAUUUGUGAGUGCAAAAUUAUCCAGGUUGCAGCUGAGUGUGUUCUGUCUCGGGUAGAUGCCCCUUUCACCACCCCUUGGUACACGGACCACAUUAAUUGGAUCUGCCCCGUGCUGACCAAGAGCUCACCAUUCCCGCCUGCUGUUGUGGCCGCUGGCAGCAGUCAGGCCCUUGUUGAAACUGGAAUGUAAAGCGCGUGGGCUGGCACCCACUGGGAAGGCCGGGCCUGACACGCCAGAGAAAGGGUUGUGGAAAAUCACCUCUUGCCCACAGUCCAAAGAAGUGGAUUCCCUUGAAGAAGGAUCCUAGAGUUUGAGUGGCGUUAUUUCCUCUUGACUGCACUGCCGCUCCUCUCUCCAGUGCGGCUGCCCCGGUCCCUGUGGGGGCUCAGCCGGGGUAUCGGGCAGCGCCGUGGUUGGGACACAGCAAGAGGGAGGCCACAGGGAAGAGCCACGCGCGGCCAGCUGCAGCGGAACUGGCUCCUCCUGGUUUGUGCCUGGGGAAAGAGGCUCGGAGACAAUCCUGACAUCACUGUGACCAGGAUUUCACCAGGCUGACGCACUUCAAGGUUAUCCUCUGAAAUCUCUGCUCCUGGAAAGAGAAUUCUCUGUUUGAGAUGAAUAAUGUGUUGAAUAUGGUGUGUGAUGGGUCUGUAGACUCUGAAGAUAUAACAUGAACAAAUAUAUUGUUCUAGAAAGCUGCUAUGAGAACACUACUGAGGAUUUAGAAGCAUCUCAACUACCAGACAGGUGUUCUGGAUUUUCCUUACUGAAGCUGGGCAGUUUUAACUCACUUCAACCUGAAUCUCUGCCCAGAGAACCAGAAAGUACAUUACAGAAGACUGGAAAAAUGCAACCAAGGGAUCCUCACUUCCUCGCAAGCCUCCCAGCCCAAGAGGAGUUCACGGAGUUAAUGCUUCUGAUAAAGGCAUCAGAGAUGUGAAUAAUGAACAAGUAGAACCCCGUUCCCAGCAUCGCUGCUUGGCAGAUCCUUCUGCUGGUUGUAGAGGCCCCAGGGCUGCUGCGUCCCUUUGCCCUGCAGACGCGGGUGCCAGCCGUCACCCCACAGGACCGUGCUUUGCCUGGGGGCAGCAGCCUCUGGAAAAUGCUUAUUUUUCGGUGAUAAUCUCAUGAUCUGACCAUCCUGCAGUUUUACAGUGGCGGUGCCCCGCCUGCCCCCCCACAUCACAUGGAUCUAGGGUCCUACCAGCCAGCAACCUCACCACCAAGGUCUAAUCCCUCACAACAGGUCGCCCCUUUCACCAUGGCUACAUUCCUCAUGCUCGGCUUUUACAAGUCUUACAGCCACUCUGGUUAAACAAAGAGGCUUUUUGCUGGAAAACCUCAUCCUUAUGUGUUGGAGGAUCUUCAUCGUCCCAUCCCUACUAAGUUGUGCUCUUGCUCCAGCCUGCAGUCACAGGGAGGAGGUGGGAAAGGUGGCACCCUCGGCUGCCUUGGAUGAUGCUUCUCAUUCUGCCAUCUCGUAAAGGAGAAGCUCUGCGACUCUUCACUCUUGAGUGCAAUGUGGUGCCCUUUAUAUCCCUUGAGACCAAGAUGUAAAAAUAAUAGAAAACUGACAUUUAAGCUAUUGGGGUUUUUUAUAUUAGAUUGUUCUGAGCUAAAAUGCACAAAGGAAAAAAAAUCACCCAAAAUACGCUGCUUCUUGCCUAUUUUGCAUUUCAGUAUGGAGAUAAUAUGUGCACAUCUCAGAGUAGAUUAUAUUAAUGUUUCUGAACACUGAUGAGUCCAAACCCACUAAGAGCUGUACACAGCAGCUCAGAGGGUGUGGGAGUGACAGAGGCGCUGGAAGUCAGAAUGCAGGCAGGGAGCUGUUUGCUUUUUUCAUGGCUUGUGUCUCCUCCUAUCUCUCAUACUUUUAUUUUCAGGGGCUAUUUUCCUCUUCACGUUUUGGUCAUGUGCUGAAUACAGAUGAGACACAAUGUACACAGAGCUAUUAGACUGACACAGACUCAUUUUGUGGUUUUGGAAAAAAGAUAACCCCCUGAUCAAGUUAGCCUGGCGUAGUCUGAAAACUAUGAGAGAUGCCAGGCUAGCAGUAGUCCCUUAACUGGCCAAUAUCCCGGGUCUGCUCACGAGUGCC